GCUCCUUCUCUUUCCCUUUCUUUUUUUUUUCCUUCAUUCCUCUUCUCAAACCACACGGCCACCGUGACCGCGGUCGAUAAGGGCUCCGAUGAGGGGCCAACAGCCUAAUACCCUCAUCCUCUUCAUAAUCCAAACCCCAAAGACACCCUAAAUCGACGUGAAAACCGCCUAAUGAAAUCUGAACCUACCCAAACAGACUAGCUCACCUUUCACUCGACCACGGCCACAAAGACCACGGCCGAUGCCCCUAAAUGCCCUACAUGGGCGCGAUUCACCUCUCCGUUCACCACCGUGGUGGUUACCUCCGAUGAAGGACCUGAACCGACGAGGUAAAGGCCUCACUCUUCUCUGACCGAAAAGCUAUAAAUCAACGCCUAAGGGGGCCCAAAGCGACCCUUAACCUCUCGAAACUAAAGCCCGACUGCUCACCUUCCAGCGACCGGCGACCGACGACCGACGACUAAGGACCCAGGACUCUCGGCUCCUCUCUCUGGCGAAAAUCAGCUCGGAUGAGGAACCAAACCACGCCGUAUCGGUUGAUGACUAAGCCUUUGAUGGCUUGAGUUUGUUACACAAUCCGUUGUUGAGAGAAUCAGCCCAAUUAGUAUUGCACAAUUGGCGUGAAGGAUAGGUCCCAGCUAGGUGAAUCGGUUGCUGGUGGGACCUUGCUGUUAGCUGGUAUACGGUUUGGUGACGAGGCUUGGUGGGACCAGUUGGGACUGCUCACGUAGAGGAGAGGGGACCAAUGUUGACCCGGGCAAAAUUUAGUCCACGCCGGUGGUGAUUGAAUGUUUGAUUUGCUCUGUGGGAGGUUUAGCACGCCAUGGCCAUGGCGGUGCUGAUAAAAGGAUGAUUGGGACUAGCAAAUGGAAUGAAGGAAACGGAUGGCGGUCAGAAGACACUUCUCAAGGUUCUAGAAUAUGAACUAGCUCAGCAUAACCAUCUGAAUUCUAGAAUGACAAGCUCUCAUUAAAUGAUCGCAGCCACCAGCUCAUUCAUGUAUGUUGCGGUGAUGACCAACUCUUUGGCUACAGUGGCGACAAGUUCCUAUCUGAUCAAGGGCGAAGACAUCAGUACAAUUUUUUUUUAACAUUUAAAGUGCAAUCAAGGAGAAAAUAGAGAUAAAAUGCAAUAGAAUAUAAAUAUGCAAUGCAACGACAACAUUACUCUAAAUGGAAUAUGAUGACAAUGAAUGCAAUGAAAAAUGACAUAUCAUGCACGACUUAGGGACAAAAUAAGCUUAGAAUAUUGACAGAUUUUUAUGCUAUUUUCAGUAUUAUCAUAC